rnacentral:lncRNA from 1 species
UAGAUUGGUGGAAGGUAUGUUGUAGUGUAUGAUUGGUGGAAGGUAUGUUGGUAGUGUAUGAUUGGUGGAAGGUAUGUUGGUAGUGUAUGAUUGGUGGAAGGUAUGUUGGUAUUGUAUUAUUGGUGGAAGGCAUGUUGGUAGUGUAUGAUUGGUGGAAGGUAUGUUGGUAGUGUAUGAUUGGUUGAAGGUAUGUUAGUAGUGUAUGAUUGGUGGAAGGUAUGUUGGUAGUGUGUUGGUAGUGCAUGAUUGGUGGAAGGUAUGUUGGUAUUGUAUUAUUGGUGGAAGGUAUGUUGGUAGU